GAGUUUGAUCCUGGCUCAGAUUGAACGCUGGCGGCAUGCCUUACACAUGCAAGUCGAACGGCAGCAUGAUCUAGCUUGCUAGAUUGAUGGCGAGUGGCGAACGGGUGAGUAAUACAUCGGAACGUGCCCUGUAGUGGGGGAUAACUAGUCGAAAGAUUAGCUAAUACCGCAUACGACCUGAGGGUGAAAGUGGGGGAUCGCAAGGCCUCAUGCUAUAGGAGCGGCCGAUGUCUGAUUAGCUAGUUGGUGGGGUAAAGGCCCACCAAGGCGACGAUCAGUAGCUGGUCUGAGAGGACGAUCAGCCACACUGGGACUGAGACACGGCCCAGACUCCUACGGGAGGCAGCAGUGGGGAAUUUUGGACAAUGGGCGAAAGCCUGAUCCAGCAAUGCCGCGUGUGUGAAGAAGGCC
rnacentral:rRNA from 1 species